rnacentral:rRNA from 1 species
CAAGUCGAACGAGAAUGAGGGGGCAACUCCUCUAGUAAAGUGGCGGACGGGUGCGUAACACGUGGGUAAUGUACCUUCCAGCGGGGGACAACCGUUCCGAAAGGAUGGCUAAUACCGCAUACGUCGGCGAGGGCUCUGGUCCUUGUCGGGAAAGAUGGCCUCUCCUUGGAAGCUGUCACUGGAAGAUCAACCCGCGGCCCAUCAGCUAGUUGGUGAGGUAACGGCUCACCAAGGCUAAGACGGGUAGCUGGUCUGAGAGGAUGAUCAGCCACACUGGGACUGCGACACGGCCCAGACUCCUACGGGAGGCAGCAGUGGGGAAUAUUGGGCAAUGGGCGAAAGCCUGACCCAGCCACGCCGCGUGAGUGAUGAAGGCCUUCGGGUCGUAAAGCUCUGUGGGGAGGGACGAACAACUCGGGGAUUAAUACCCCCGAAUCUGACGGUACCUCCUUAGCAAGCACCGGCUAACCCUGUGCCAGCAGCCGCGGUAAUACAGGGGGUGCAAACGUUGCUCGGAAUUAUUGGGCGUAAAGCGCGCGUAGGCGGCUACUUAAGUCGGAUGUGAAAGCCCUUGGCUCAACUGAGGAAGUGCACCCGAAACUGAGUGGCUUGAGUACUAAAGAGGGUCGCGGAAUUCCCGGUGUAGAGGUGAAAUUCGUAGAUAUCGGGAGGAACACCGGUGGCGAAGGCGGCGACCUGGGUAGAUACUGACGCUGAGGCGCGAAAGCGUGGGGAGCAACAGGAUUAGAUACCCCUGGUAGUCCACGCCGUAACGAUGGGUGCUAGAUGUUUCUGGUAUUGACCCCGGAGGCGUC